rnacentral:rRNA from 1 species
GAUUAAGCCAUGCAUGUGUAAGUAUAAAUAAUUUUACUUUGAAACUGCGAAUGGCUCAUUAUAUCAGUUAUAGUUUAUUAGAAAUACUUUACUACUUGGAUAACCGUAGUAAUUCUAGGGCUAAUACAUGAMUAAAUCCUCAACUUCGGAAGAGGUGUGUUUAUUAGUAUGAAAACCAUAUAUCUUCGGAUAUAAUAGUGAGUAAUAAUAACCUUUCGUAUCGUAUGUCGUAAGAUAACGAUAGUUCUUUCAAGUUUCUGCCCUAUCAGCUUUCGAUGGUAGUAUAUGGGACUACCAUG